rnacentral:rRNA from 1 species
GUGCCAGCCGCCGCGGUAAUACGGAGGGUGCAAGCGUUGUCCGGAUUUAUUGGGUUUAAAGGGUGCGUAGGCGGCUCUUUAAGUCAGUGGUGAAAGCCCGCAGCUUAACUGUGGAACUGCCAUUGAUACUGGAGAGCUUGAGUACGGUUGAAGUAGGCGGAAUUUAUGGUGUAGCGGUGAAAUGCAUAGAUACCAUAAAGAACACCGAUAGCGUAGGCAGCUUACUAAGCCGUAACUGACGCUGAGGCACGAAAGCAUGGGGAGCGAACAGGAUUAGAUACCCCUGUAGUCC